GAGGCAGCGCGGCCCAGGUUGAAAAAGACGGCCGCCGCGGUAUUCAUUUAAACAACCAGAAAUUUUAAAGUUUUUUUUUUCGAACUUUUUUUUUCAAAACUUUAAGACUUAUGCUCGCAGUUUGAUCUUUGGACGUGAUGUUCCUUGGCCUCGUCUUGCUGCCCAAGUAAACACAAUAUAAUUGUCUGCAUCCUUUUCCUCGACGGAACCAGGACUUAGAAUGGAAGUCUAGUCGAGGAAGCGCUCGUCCGUCAACUCACCCACGCCGGCUCGGCUGCCUCCGUCGCAGCCGCCUCGGUCGUCUCGGCGCGGCGCCAGUGGCUCAUUACGGAGCUGACACGCUGACCGACAUAAAAUUUCGCCCAAAUUGUAAACACGUCCGAGAUGCCUUUGUCUCCAGUGUGCUGUCAGCAUCUCUGUGGACGCGUAUAAAGGCGGGGGGCUUCGGCAGCGCCGGCAGACCCUCCCGAACCUGCAGCAGCGGAGCGCGCCACCGUGAUGUAAGACCCAGGACUGCCAGGACGGCGGAGACGGCCCGAACGGGCUGCUGCUGACCAACACCGCCUGCUCCUCCCCCACUCCCUCAUGGGGCCAGCGCAAGGGCCAGCGCGGGGUGCGGGGGCUACGCGGCGGCAGCGACACCGCGGCAGCGGCGCGGCUCCAGCCCCCACCACCCUCCUCGAACCGCGAUGACGUCACCACGCUAGCCAAGAAGAACGCCUAGGCCAGCGCGCGUCCUGGAGCCCGUCCUGGAGCACGUCAAGCAGUGGUCCCUGCAGCACGCACUUCAUGAAGGGUUCGCCGUCAACGCUGUGUCCAUUCACGUGGGUCAUUCAAAAUUCGUCCUUUUUCUAAAUUUGCCGUUUCCUUUCCUGUCACUUCCGUGUUUUAAUUUUUCAUUCCACUUUUAUCAAAGUUUUUGGUCAUCCAUUCGUUUUUACAAUUACCAUUUUGUUCAUUCAUUUCGCGAAAUCACCCCAUUCAUUUAUUCGGUCGUUCAUUUUAAUUUAUUGAUUCUUUCAUUCAUCGAUUCAUUCAUUAUUCGCUCACCCUUUCAUUCAUCCGUACAUCCACCGUCCACCCAUUCAUUCAUUCGUUCAUCCACCAUCCGUUCAUUCAUUCAUUCGGUCAUGCACAAUAAUUCAUUCGUCCAUUCGUUCAUUGAUUCACCGAUUCAUUCAUGCGCACUAUUCAAUUUGUUUGUCUCGAUAUGCUCGUAUCAUUUUAAAUUCCUUGUAAUUGCAUUCAAAACAUGUUUUGCUGAAACUAACUUAAAAACUGCCACCUUCAGGAAACGGUUUUGUUUUCAUUUUGAUUUCAUUUCAAAAUUAAGUUUUGGAUUUUGCUCCGGUUGUUACUCAUUUCACCAAAAUCUUAUCAUGCGUGUCGCCCUACGUGUCAAAUAAAAAUCAAGAAAAUUUUG